UUUUUCUUAUCUCUUUUCCUUUCUUUUAAUAAUUAUUUUUAUUUUAAAAAUUAAUACUAAUAUAUAUUUUAAUGAUAUAAAAAAGGUAAGUACAUAAUUAAACAAAAAUUAGUUAAACAAAUGACAUAAAAAAUUAAAAUUAAUUAUACAAUCAAAACCUCAUUAUUUUUUUUAUAAUAUUUCUUUUCCUCUAUCCUUUUUCCUUUCUUUUAAUUAUUUUAAUUCUAAAUAAUACAAAUACCAAAUCCUCUGUCUCCCCCAACAAGAUCCCAAAUCCCCCAAAUAUCAAAUCCUUCAUUCAAAUCCCCAAAUCCAAUUACCUACAAAUCAUAAUCCCCAAAGUCAAAUGCUUUACACUUCCCUCUCCCCCCUCAUGUAUCAGACCGAUUGAAACCCUUUUCGACUGAAACCUUACACUUCUACUUCCUCUUCCUCAUCUACUGAACAUAGUCGACUCCCUCUCCGAAAAAAAGAAGAAAUCGCCGACGCCCCUCUCUGUUCUUCGCCUUCUUCCUCGUCGGUUGAUCUGAUUGAAACCCUCAUUUUCAGUCUCUAUACAAUGGGAGGUGAAGUUGCAGAAGAUCAGUACUGGUCAAUUGGACAGAUCGAAAAAUUAGAGAGAGAAAUGGGUAUCGAUAAUGGGAGGAGGAGAUACUGGAGCGUAGCAGUUGAAAAGUUGGAGAAGAAAGGUUCGAUUCUUUCGUUAGUUGGAGAAGAAACGUAGUAGUUCUUUCUUUCUAAUCUCAAUCUUUUUUAUCCCCAAUUACAGCGUUCUUCCCAAUUUCAAAUCCACUCACAGAUAAGAUAAAGGAAGUUUAAAGAUGGUGAUGGUGGUGGCUGUGGUAAUGAGGAAGUUUAGCUAUGAUUUUAGAAUCAAAUAUUUAGGUAAAGAAAAA
rnacentral:lncRNA from 1 species